AWWWDUWMGSGGRGRAAAARRAMCUAAAYAGGAUUCCCUCAGUAAUGGCRAAUGAACAGGGAUWAGCUCAGCAUGGAAAUCGGGGCCUCUGGCCUUGAAUUGUAGUCUCGAGAUGUACUGCCAACGGAGGCACAGAUGUAAGCCUCUUGGAAAAGAGCMCCAWUGAGGGUGAGAGUCCCGCUUGCCAUCUGUAGUCCCCCGUGUACGGUGUGCAUUCUAAGAGUCACGUUCCUCAGGAUUGGAGCGCAAAGUGGGUGGUAAAUUUCAUCUAAAGCUGAAUAUCGGUUCGAGAACGAUAGCAAACAAGUACCAUGAGGGAAAGGUGAAAAGGACUUUGAAAAGAGAGUUAAAAGUGCCUGAAAUUGCUGAAAGGGAAGCGAAUGGAACCAGCGCGUCUUGGCGAGAUUGUUGCGUGCUAAUGCGAUUGCCUGCUGUUUCAGCGCAAGCGGGGCAGUAGGUCUUGAGCAGGACGUGCGUGGUGCUUCUUGCCUUGCGUGUCAACUUCAGUUCACACUUGAGGAAAACCUCAGGGACAUGGUAGCUAGCCUCCGGGCGAACGAAUGUGCCUGGGUGUACUCGAGGGUGUACUGCCUGGUGACUAAAUGGUUC
rnacentral:rRNA from 1 species